rnacentral:rRNA from 1 species
AUUGAACGCUGGCGGCAUGCUUUACACAUGCAAGUCGAACGGUAACAGGUUAAGCUGACGAGUGGCGAACGGGUGAGUAAUGCAUCGGAACGUGCCCGAUCGUGGGGGAUAACGCAGCGAAAGCUGCGCUAAUACCGCAUACGAUCUGAGGAUGAAAGCGGGGGACCGUAAGGCCUCGCGCGAUCGGAGCGGCCGAUGUCAGAUUAGGUAGUUGGUGGGGUAAAGGCUCACCAAGCCAACGAUCUGUAGCUGGUCUGAGAGGACGACCAGCCACACGGGGACUGAGACACGGCCCAGACUCCUACGGGAGGCAGCAGUGGGGAAUUUUGGACAAUGGUCGAAAGCCUGAUCCGGCAAUGCCGCGUGCAGGAAGAAGGCCUUCGGGUUGUAAACUGCUUUUGUACGGAGCGAAAAGGCUCUCUCUAAUACAGGGGGCUCAUGACGGUACCGUAAGAAUAAGCACCGGCUAACUACGUGCCAGCAGCCGCCGCAG